AGAGUUUGAUCAUGGCUCAGGAUGAACGCUAGCGGGAGGCUUAAUACAUGCAAGUCGAGGGGCAGCUUCAACUUCGGUUGAAGGCGACCGGCGAACGGGUGCGUAACACGUAUGCAACCUACCUCUAACAGGGGGAUAGCCCAGAGAAAUCUGGAUUAAUACCCCAUAGUAUUAUGAAAGGGCAUCCUUUUAUAAUUAAAGUUCCGGCGGUUAGAGAUGGGCAUGCGGCCCAUUAGCUUGUUGGUGAGGUAACGGCUCACCAAGGCAACGAUGGGUAGCUGGUCUGAGAGGAUGAUCAGCCACACGGGCACUGAGAUACGGGCCCGACUCCUACGGGAGGCAGCAGUAGGGAAUAUUGGUCAAUGGACGAAAGUCUGAACCAGCCAUCCCGCGUGCAGGAUGACAGCCCUAUGGGUUGUAAACUGCUUUUAUUGGGGAAGAACUCCUCGGACGUGCUCCGAGGUUGACGGUACCCAAAGAAUAAGCACCGGCUAACUCCGUGCCAGCAGCCGCGGUAAUACGGAGGGUGCAAGCGUUAUCCGGAUUCACUGGGUUUAAAGGGUGCGUAGGCGGAAUGAUAAGUCAGUGGUGAAAUCCUACAGCUUAACUGUAGAACUGCCAUUGAAACUGCCAUUCUUGAGUAUAGUUGAGGUGGGCGGAAUGUGUCAUGUAGCGGUGAAAUGCAUAGAUAUGCCACAGAACACCAAUUGCGAAGGCAGCUCACUAAACUAUUACUGACGCUGAGGCACGAAAGCGUGGGUAGCGAACAGGAUUAGAUACCCUGGUAGUCCACGCCCUAAACGAUGAUUACUCGACAUGUGCGAUACACUGUACGUGUCCAAGCGAAA
rnacentral:rRNA from 1 species